rnacentral:lncRNA from 1 species
AUGGUAUAUCUUUUCUUUAUAUUCUUCUUUUUACAAUCCAAAAGAUUUUUGUUUCUUCUUUUCUUUUUCUUCUUUCUUUCUUUGUUCAAACAGAGUCUUGCUGUGUUGCCCAGGCUGAAGUGCUGUGCAGCCUCAAAUUUCUGGGCUCAAGCAAUCUCCCCACGGCAGCCUCCAGAGUAGCUGGGACUAUAGGAACACACCACCACACCCAGCUAAAUUUUUUAUUUUUUAAUAAAGACAGAGUUUCACUACUUUGCUUAGGCUGGUCUCAAACUCCUGGUCUCAAGCAUUCCUACCACCUCAUCCUCACACAGUGCUGGCAUUACAGGCAUUAGCCACCAUGCUGGGCCCUAUCUCCGCUUUGGACAUGCCUUCCUCACUAAGCUUAAUUAUUUCCAGCUUUUGAUUAGAAGUCUGCUGUGUGAUUUUCCUUUCACUUGAAAAAUUAGAGGCCAUUGAGAGGUUAUGAUUGGGACUAAUUUAAAUACUGUUACCCUCAGGGAAUAGGGAGGCCCAUGGAGAGGAAGAAAAAUGGUGGAAUGGCUGCUUGGUAGAGCAGUCAGAACAUACUCUACAUUUACUGAUUAAGUCUGCUGUCUCAUAUGGAGAUGGUUUGUAGCACCCUAAAACAAUGACAUUAGUAACUGCAAAAAUUAUUGAUCAUAGAUCAUCAUAAAAGUAUAACAACAAAAAAGUUUGAAAUAUUGUGAGAAACAGCAAAAUGUGACAGAGAUAUCAAGCACAUGAAGUGAGCACGUGCUAUUGGAAAAAUGGUGCCAACAGACUUGUUCAACACAGGACUGCCACAAACCUUCACUUUGUUUAAAAAAAUAAUAAUCUUAAUAUCUCAUAAAAUUAGAUGUGCCUGUACAUUUUUCACUAUUGGAAAAAUGGUGCCAAUAGACUUCUUCAACACAGGACUGCCACAAACCUUCACUUUGUUUUAAAAAAUAAUAAUCUUAAUAUCUCAUAAAAUGAGAUGUGCCUGUACAUUUUUCACAGUUUGGAAGCAAUAUAGCACAAUGGUGAAAAGCAAGGCUUGGGUUUGUGUCUUAGCACUAGCCAGCUAUAGGAUUCUGAGUUACCAAUCAUCUCGCAGCCAUAGGUUCCUUGUUUGAAAAAUGGGAAGAGUAAUUCUACCCCUUAGAAUUACUGCAUUGCUUAAAUGAGAUAAAUAUGUAAAAAGCUGAACUUAACAUCCUUGUACUUACCACAAAUGUCAGUUAUUAUAUUAAAUAUUUUAAAUAUUAAUAAAAAUAUAAAACUAGAUAGCUAGAAAGAAGUUGAAGAGAUAUUAAACUAUUUCUGUGCUAUGUGU